GGGGCUGCACCGGUUUCGACGUGGGUUCGGACCCGCAGCAGGGCAUGUCGAGGAUCAGUCACCUCGUAAAUCCAUCUGAAACAAACCAACUGCGAACGAUUCUUCGUACGCCCUCGCCGCUUAAUUGCGCGUGAGCUCUACAACGGCAGGCCGAUGGGCCGGGUGAGGGGCGCAAGCCCCGAACUGUAGAGUUAUCUUCAUCGGCUGGUCCGGAUCCGGGUGCCUUGGGUCGGGACGAGAAAAUAGGGCACUGGCUGGCCAGGUAGCGUGCGACUGCGCGACCCGGUUGGCGAGAUCCAAAUCAGACCGCUAAACAUGUAGAACUGUUCGGCGAAGGCUUGCGGACGCGGGUUCAAUUCCCGCCAGCUCCACCA
rnacentral:tmRNA from 1 species